rnacentral:rRNA from 1 species
CCUACGGGUGGCAGCAGUGGGGGAUCUUGCACAAUGGGGGAAACCCUGAUGCAGCGACGCCGCGUGGGUGAAGAAGUACCUCGGUACGUAAAGCUCUGUCAGCAGGGAAGAAAAUGACGGUACCUGACUAAGAAGCCCCGGCUAUCUACGUGCCAGCAGCCGCGGUAAUACGUAGGAGCCAAGCGUUAUCCGGAUUUCCUGGGUGUAAAGGGAGCGUAGACGGCAUGACAAGUCAGGAGUGAAAUGCCGGGGCUUAACCCUGAAAUUGCUAUGGAUACUGGCCGUCUGGAGUACAGGAGGGGUAAGCGGAAUUCGUAGUGUAGCGGUGAAAUGCGUAGAUAUUAGGAAGAACACCGGUGGCGAAGGCGGCUUACUAAACUGUAACUGACGUUGAGGCUCGAAAGCGUGGGGAGCAAACAGGAUUAGAUACCCCAGUAGUC